rnacentral:rRNA from 1 species
UACGUAGGGUGCGAGCGUUUAAUCGGAAUUACUGGGCGUAAAGCGUGCGCAGGCGGUUUUGUAAGCCAGAUGUGAAAUCCCCGGGCUCAACCUGGGAACUGCAUUUGUGACUGCAUCGCUAGAGUACGGCAGAGGGGGAUGGAAUUCCGCGUGUAGCAGUGAAAUGCGUAGAUAUGCGGAGGAACACCGAUGGCGAAGGCAAUCCCCUGGGCCUGUACUGACGCUCAUGCACGAAAGCGUGGGGAGCAAACAGG